UCCGGUUUGGCACCGACUCAAAGAGGGACCCUGUCUCCAGGGUUUUCCGGCAUAUGUCAAGCCUUGGUAAGGUUCUUCGCGUUGCGUCGAAUUAAGCCACAUGCUCCGCCGCUUGUGCGGGCCCCCGUCAAUUCCUUUGAGUUUUAGCCUUGCGGCCGUACUCCCCAGGCGGGGCGCUUAAUGCGUUAGCUGCGGCACGGACCCCGUGGAAUGGGACCCACACCUAGCGCCCAACGUUUACGGCGUGGACUAC
rnacentral:misc_RNA from 1 species